GACGAACGCUGGCGGCGUGCUUAACACAUGCAAGUCGAACGAUGAAGCCGGAGCUUGCUCUGGUGAAUUAGUGGCGAACGGGUGAGUAACACGUGAGUAACCUGCCCUUGACUCUGGGAUAACUGCGGGAAACUGUAGCUAAUACCGGAUACGACCCUCGGAGGCAUCUCCUGGGGGUGGAAAGAAUUUCGGUCAAGGAUGGACUCGCGGCCUAUCAGCUAGUUGGGGAGGUAAAGGCUCACCAAGGCGACGACGGGUAGCCGGCCUGAGAGGGGGACCGGCCACACUGGGACUGAGACACGGCCCAGACUCCUACGGGAGGCAGCAGUGGGGAAUAUUGCACAAUGGGCGCAAGCCUGAUGCAGCAACGCCACGUGAGGGAUGACGGCCUUCGGGUUGUAAACCUCUUUUAGCAGGGAAGAAGCGAAAGUGACGGUACCUGCAGAAAAAGCACCGGCUAACUACGUGCCAGCCGCCGCCGUAA
rnacentral:rRNA from 1 species